rnacentral:lncRNA from 1 species
GUUGGGUGGUGGGUUGGUUUAGUGUGAUAUGAUUGAUAUGUCACGAAGGAGGAAUGGGGUUAAGGCAAGAAAGUGGUUGCUUGCUUUAGUAUUGGUCAUAUGUGCAAUUGUUAGGAUAGGGCUAAGACUAGGGCUAGAUUGGGGAGUAGGAUUAGCCAUUAACUCAAAAAAGAAUUGCAAUAUGGUUGAUGUUGAAGUGCUAGCUAUGGUAGUAGAGGCAUCCUUAGCUAAGCUGGUGGCUAUGCCAUCUAGGAAUGUUUCCAUUAAAUCUUGAUUAAUUAUGAAGGAGGAAUGAUUUGGAUUAGCGUCAGAAUAGAUA